GACGAACGCUGGCGGCGUGCCUAAUACAUGCAAGUUGAGCGCUGAAGGUUGGUACUUGUACCAACUGGAUGAGCAGCGAACGGGUGAGUAACGCGUGGGGAAUCUGCCUUUGAGCGGGGGACAACAUUUGGAAACGAAUGCUAAUACCGCAUAAAAACUUUAAACACAAGUUUUAAGUUUGAAAGAUGCAAUUGCAUCACUCAAAGAUGAUCCCGCGUUGUAUUAGCUAGUUGGUGAGGUAAAGGCUCACCAAGGCGAUGAUACAUAGCCGACCUGAGAGGGUGAUCGGCCACAUUGGGACUGAGACACAGCCCAAACUCCUACGGGAGGCAGCAGGAGGGAAUCUUCGGCAAUGGACGAAAGUCUGACCGAGCAACGCCGCGUGAGUGAAGAAGGUUUUCGGAUCGUAAAACUCUGUUGGUAGAGAAGAACGUUGGUGAGAGUGGAAAGCUCAUCAAGUGACGGUAACUACCCAGAAAGGGACGGCUAACUACGUG
rnacentral:rRNA from 1 species